UUGUUUUGGCAGCACAUGUACGAAAAUUGGAAUGACACAGAGAUUAGCAUGGCCCUGGUGCAAGGAUGACAUGGAAAUUCAUGAAGCAUUCCCUGUUGUU
rnacentral:snRNA from 1 species